CGGCGCACGUUAGCAAGAAAGGGCGCGGCGCACGUUAGCAAAACAGGCCAGGCAGUGCACGGUAGCAGAGAGGCUGACGUGUGCUGACGUCAGAAACACGCGGCGCACGUUAGCAAGGUAGUGCGCGGUGCACGUUAGCACGGGACAGUGUGGAGGACGCGUGGAGCGCGUGUGAGGCGGAAGGCGGAGGCAGGCGACGCGCCGUUCACAGAAGUGGCGCGUGAGAGCGCGUGUAACGUCGGAUUGGACUGAAAUUGGUGGCGUUGGAAUCGUUCGGAGGAGACGAAGGCUCUGGUGUGGUGAAAACUGUAUUUCA